rnacentral:rRNA from 1 species
UACGGGGGGGCAAGCGUUGUUCGGAAUUACUGGGCGUAAAGGGCUCGUAGGCGGCCAACUAAGUCAGACGUGAAAUCCCUCGGCUUAACCGGGGAACUGCGUCUGAUACUGGAUGGCUUGAGUUCGGGAGAGGGAUGCGGAAUUCCAGGUGUAGCGGUGAAAUGCGUAGAUAUCUGGAGGAACACCGGUGGCGAAGGCGGCAUCCUGGACCGACACUGACGCUGAGGAGCGAAAGCGUGGGAGCGAACAGG